rnacentral:rRNA from 1 species
GACGAACGCUGGCGGCGUGCUUAACACAUGCAAGUCGAACGGAAAGGCCCUGCUUGCCGGGUACUCGAGUGGCGAACGGGUGAGUAACACGUGGGUGAUCUGCCCUGCACUUCGGGAUAAGCCUGGGAAACUGGGUCUAAUACCGGAUAGGAGCCAUUUUUAGUGUGAUGGUUGGAAAGUUUUUUCGGUGUAGGAUGAGCUCGCGGCCUAUCAGCUUGUUGGUGGGGUAAUGGCCUACCAAGGCGGCGACGGGUAGCCGGCCUGAGAGGGUGGACGGCCACAUUGGGACUGAGAUACGGCCCAAACUCCUACGGGAGGCAGCAGUGGGGAAUAUUGCACAAUGGGCGCAAGCCUGAUGCAGCGACGCCGCGUGGGGGAUGACGGCCUUCGGGUUGUAAACGCCUUUCGCUAGGGACGAAGCUUUUUGUGACGGUACCUAGAUAAGAAGCACCGGCUAACUACGUG